CGCUGAGUUUGAUCCUGGCUCAGAACGAACGCUGGCGGCGUGCUUUACACAUGCAAGUCGAACGGUAGAGGGGGCAACCCCUCGAGAGUGGCGAACGGGUGAGUAAUAUAUCGGAACGUGCCCAGUCGUGGGGGAUAACGUAGCGAAAGUUACGCUAAUACCGCAUACGAUCUAAGGAUGAAAGCGGGGGAUCGCAAGACCUCGCGCGAUUGGAGCGGCCGAUAUCAGAUUAGGUAGUUGGUGGGGUAAAAGCUCACCAAGCCAACGAUCUGUAGCUGGUCUGAGAGGACGACCAGCCACACUGGAACUGAGACACGGUCCAGACUCCGUA
rnacentral:rRNA from 1 species